UGGAUGAUGUGGUUUAAUUCGAUAGCAACGCGAAAACCUUACCCACCUUUGACAUGUACGGAACCUUUAGUAGAUAGAGGGUGCUCGAAAGAGAGCCGUAACACAGGUGCUGCAUGGCUGUCGUCAGCUCGUGUCGUGAGAUGUUGGGUUAAGUCCCGCAACGAGCGCAACCCUUGUCAUUAGUUGCUACAUUCAGUUGGGCACUCUAGUGAGACUGCCGGUGACAAGCCGGAGGAAGGUGGGGAUGACGUCAAGUCCUCAUGGCCCUUAUAGGUGGGGCUACACACGUCAUACAAUGGCUGGUACAAAGGGUUGCCAACCCGCGAGGGGGAGCUAAUCCCAUAAAGCCAGUCGUAGCCCGGAUCGUAGUCUGCAACUCGACUACGUGAAGUCGGAAUCGCUAGUAAUCGUGGAUCAGAAUGUCACGGUGAAUACGUUCCCGGGUCUU
rnacentral:rRNA from 1 species